CCAAGCCUAAUAGAAGCCCGCUUCUAACCUGCGUGUUCUCUCUCUAUUCGCUCUAUUGACCAGACCAGGGCAGCGAAUUGGAAUGAGGGCACCUCGAGUCACCUUCGGCAAGGUAACUUCUUCCCGAUCCCUUCUCUCCAUUGGUCCUCCCGUGCUGCUUGUUGCAUGUGUACUGUGUGUGUGCUGCUGUGUGGCUUGCUGCUUCUGGGUGCUGGGCUGUUGAUGGCCUGAUGCUGCUACUUUCCUGUAUAUUUGUAUAAUGCUUGAUUAUUUGUGUCUUGUAUCCAACGAUGCUUUGUUGUAUACUGAUGUUGCUUGAUGUUGUUGUGCUGGCCAGGGAGCGAGUCAAGUGACAUAUUGACGUAUGGACAUUCAAUUACGGGGAUUGAGGAAAUUAACGAUCAUUCGACUUGAAAAGAGGCAUGAGGGCAACAAAAGUUGCAGUAUUUUGAUCCCAUUUCAUUUCAAGCAUACAUCUUUCUAGGUAUUGACACUUUAAUCUUUUCUGGUUUGGGCAGACCUUCCUGAACCCCUAACUGACUCAUUCCUUGAGUUAUCUGAUGAAGACUCUGUACAGGUGUUGGACAUGCAAAUGGCAACAUCGUGUUUAUGUCAAAUAAACAUUUGAGUUGGACUCCAGCUUUUUGUCUCCAAACAAACCGUUGCAGCCAGCACUAAAAUAUCACCAAAUAGGAAUCACAGAAGAACAAGACAUGAACAUCAAGUAGGAGGUUCAUGAAGAAAGCUCUUUGGCACCCCAGACCGCACAUCCAACUGAAUCUUGAGACCUGUUGAUUUCCUGACAGGAUCUUUCAGAGAAAAGACUGUUUAGCACACACUGUGUGUUUCUGAUAUUUGUUAUAUUCCGUUUACUACCCAGAGAUCCAAAAAAUCAACUCUACUGGGUUAAACUGAAGGAGAAAAAAAUGUUCUGGACACCCUAAAUUUGUUCUACUUUUUACUGCAGCCUCUAAGAAGUUGAUUUGAUCUGUACUACUUCUUCU
rnacentral:lncRNA from 1 species